rnacentral:rRNA from 1 species
UACGGGAGGCAGCAGUGAGGAAUAUUGGUCAAUGGGCGCGAGCCUGAACCAGCCAAGUAGCGUGCAGGAUGACGGCCCUAUGGGUUGUAAACUGCUUUUAUACAGGGAUAAAGUGGUCCACGUGUGGAUUUUUGUAGGUACUGUAUGAAUAAGGACCGGCUAAUUCCGUGCCAGCAGCCGCGGUAAU